rnacentral:rRNA from 1 species
UGGUGGGUAGUUUGACUGGGGCGGUCUCCUCCCAAAGAGUAACGGAGGAGCACGAAGGUUAGCUAAUCCUGGUCGGACAUCAGGAGGUUAGUGCAAUGGCAUAAGCUAGCUUGACUGCGAGCGUGACGGCGCGAGCAGGUGCGAAAGCAGGUCAUAGUGAUCCGGUGGUUCUGAAUGGAAGGGCCAUCGCUCAACGGAUAAAAGGUACUCCGGGGAUAACAGGCUGAUACCGCCCAAGAGUUCAUAUCGACGGCGGUGUUUGGCACCUCGAUGUCGGCUCAUCACAUCCUGGGGCUGAAGUAGGUCCCAAGGGUAUGGCUGUUCGCCAUUUAAAGUGGUACGCGAGCUGGGUUUAGAACGUCGUGAGACAGUUCGGUCCCUAUCUGCCGUGGGCGCUGGAGAAUUGAGGGGGGCUGCUCCUAGUACGAGAGGACCGGAGUGGACGCAUCACUGGUGUUCGGGUUGUCAUGCCAAUGGCAUUGCCCGGUAGCUAAAUGCGGAAGAGAUAAGUGCUGAAAGCAUCUAAGCACGAAACUUGCCCCGAGAUGAGUUCUCCCUGAGACUUUAAGUCUCCUGAAGGAACGUUAAAGACGAUGACGUUGAUAGGUCGGGUGUGUAAGCGUAGCGAUACGUUGAGCUAACCGAUACUAAUGAACCGUGAGG